rnacentral:rRNA from 1 species
UACGUAGGGUGCGAGCGUUAAUCGGAAUUACUGGGCGUAAAGCGUGCGCAGGCGGUUUAUUAAGACAGAUGUGAAAUCCCCGGGCUUAACCUGGGAACUGCAUUUGUGACUGGUAGGCUAGAGUGUAGCAGAGGGGGGUAGAAUUCCACGUGUAGCAGUGAAAUGCGUAGAUAUGUGGAGGAAUACCGAUGGCGAAGGCAGCCCCCUGGGUUAACACUGACGCUCAUGCACGAAAGCGUGGGGAGCAAACAGG